AGCGAACGUUUGCGGCGGGCUUAACACAUGCAAGUCGAACGAGAAUCCCUUCGGGGAGGAAAGUGGCGCACGGGUGCGUAACACGUGGAUAGCCAACCCAUUGGUUUGGGACAACACCGGGAAACUGGUGCUAAUACCAGAUGUGUCGCAGCUGUCUUCAGGCGGUUGCGAGAAAGGCCCGCAAGGGUCGCCAACGGACGGGUCCGCGUCCCAUCAGCUAGUUGGUGAGGUAAUGGCUCACCAAGGCAAAGACGGGUAGCUGGUCUGAGAGGGUGAUCGGCCACACUGGGACUGAGACACGGCCCAGACUCCUACGGGAGGCAGCAGUAGGGAAUCUUCCGCAAUGGACGAAAGUCUGACGGAGCAACGCCGCGUGAGUGAUGAAGGUUUUCGGAUCGUAAAACUCUGUUGUUAGGGAAGAACAAGUGCCGUUCGAAAGGGCGGCACCUUGACGGUACCUAACGAGAAAGCCACGGCUAACUACGUGCCAGCAGCCGCGGUAAUGUACAGUGU
rnacentral:rRNA from 1 species